ACAUGCCUACAUCACAGCAUUAAUGCACCGAAUCCCAUUAGAACUCCAAAAUUAAGAGCACUCAUACCAGAGUAGUACUGGGAGGGGUGACCGCUCGAGAAGUCCUACUUUUUUACAUGCU
rnacentral:rRNA from 1 species